rnacentral:lncRNA from 1 species
CUCAUUUUCUCUUGCCUCUGCUAUGUAAGAAAACCUUUCACCUCCCACCAUGAUUUUGAGACCUCCCCAGCCAAGUGGAACUGAAGGGUCCUGUCCUGUACCCGGGAGGAAGAAAUGCUACACAGAGAAGCCAAGAUGAAUCUGAACAGACAGCCUUUGUCAGUUCCACAGAUUCCAUAAAAGUUAACUCCAGAGCAGAGAAUGAUGCCACAGUCGGGAUAACAUCCAAUAUUUGCAAUCAGAAGAAAUAUGAGAGUCUUGCUCCAUCACCCAGGCUGCAGUGCAGUGGCACGAUCUUGGCUCACUGCAAGCUCCACCUCCCGGGUUCACGCCAUUCUCCUGCCUCAGCCUCCCAAGUAGCUGGGACUACAGGCGCCCACCACCACGCCCAGCUAAAUUUUUUUGUAUUUUUAGUAGAGAUGGGGUUUCACUGUGUUAGCCAGGAUGGUCUCGAUUUCCUGACCUCGUGAUCUGCCUGCCUCGGCCUCCCAAAGUGCUGGGAUUACAGGCGUGAGCCACUGUGCCCGGCCGUAAUUAUUCUUUUCGUGUUAAGCAAUGGUAAAAGAACUGACUGAAAAUAAGAAUAUUAAAAAGUUUCUCUGCUAAAAACAGAAAAUUAUGUUUGUUACCAUUCCUACUAUAACCCCAGUGAUAUGGCUCCGAUGAGUGGAGGAACACCAGGGUUCUUGGUCUUCAUGCCAGUUUAGAUAAAACAACACAGACAUACGUGGAGUGGUUUUAAGGAGCAGACAGUUUAAUAGGCAAGAAGAAAAGAGAAGGCAGAAGGAAAAGGCUCCCCGAUACAAAGACAGAGGGAGGGGGCCUCCAAAGCCAAAAGAGGAAAUCCCAAGUGCAGUGGAUACCAGCCAGGUAUAUGUAGAGGCUGGAGGAGGUGGUGUCUGAUUUGCAUAGGGCUCAGGGGAUUGGUUUGACCAGGCCUGUAAUUCACGGGGCCUGAAAAAGCUGGCCCUCCCACCCUAGCAUUUAAUAUGCAAAUGCAGGGCGCCACGAUGUUCUACAAAUGGUGGGUAUAUGUGGGAGCGGCCAUGUUGCCAGGAACAUGUGGGGCAAGGGCAAGAAGGCCACGGGAA